GCAAGUCGAACGAACUCUUCGGAGUUAGUGGCGGACGGGUGAAGUAACACGUGGGAACGUGCCUUUAGGUUCGGAAUAACUCAGGGAAACUUGUGCUAAUACCGAAUGUGCCCUUCGGGGGAAAGAUUUAUCGCCUUUAGAGCGGCCCGCGUCUGAUUAGCUAGUUGGUGAGGUAAAGGCUCACCAAGGCGACGAUCAGUAGCUGGUCUGAGAGGAUGAUCAGCCACAUUGGGACUGAGACACGGCCCAAACUCCUACGGGAGGCAGCAGUGGGGAAUCUUGCGCAAUGGGCGAAAGCCUGACGCAGCCAUGCCGCGUGAAUGAUGAAGGUCUUAGGAUUGUAAAAUUCUUUCACCGGGGACGAUAAUGACGGUACCCGGAGAAGAAGCCCCGGCUAACUUCGUGCCAGCAGCCGCGGUAAUACGAAGGGGGCUAGCGUUGCUCGGAAUUACUGGGCGUAAAGGGAGCGUAGGCGGACAUUUAAGUCAGGGGUGAAAUCCCGGGGCUCAACCUCGGAAUUGCCUUUGAUACUGGGUGUCUUGAGUAUGAGAGAGGUGUGUGGAACUCCGAGUGUAGAGGUGAAAUUCGUAGAUAUUCGGAAGAACACCAGUGGCGAAGGCGACACACUGGCUCAUUACUGACGCUGAGGCUCGAAAGCGUGGGGAGCAAACAGGAUUAGAUACCCUGGUAGUCCACGCCGUAAACGAUGAUUGCUAGUUGUCGGGAUGCAUGCAUUUCGGUGACGCAGCUAACGCAUUAAGCAAUCCGCCUGGGGAGUACGGUCGCAAGAUUAAAACUCAAAGGAAUUGACGGG
rnacentral:rRNA from 1 species